UACGUAGGGUGCAAGCGUUAAUCGGAAUUACUGGGCGUAAAGCGUGCGCAGGCGGUUUGGUAAGACAGAUGUGAAAUCCCCGGGCUUAACCUGGGAAUUGCAUUUGUGACUGCCCGGCUAGAGUGUGUCAGAGGGGGGGUAGAAUUCCACGUGUAGCAGUGAAAUGCGUAGAGAUGUGGAGGAAUACCGAUGGCGAAGGCAGCCCCCUGGGAUAACACUGACGCUCAUGCACGAAAGCGUGGGGGAGCAAACAGGG
rnacentral:rRNA from 1 species